UACCUGAAAAUUCCUGACGUCUUUGAUUUCGUUUUAGAACCAACUACUGAAGGUACUUGGACACCUCAACCAACUUGGUGGUGGUGGAGUACUACUCAACCAACUACUGAAGAUACUUGGACACCUCAACCAACUUGGUGGUGGUGGAGUACUACUCAACCAACCACCGAUGGCCCUGAUGUUACAACAGGGGGGUGGUGGGACACAACAAC
rnacentral:lncRNA from 1 species